AAGUCGUAACAAGGUUUCCGUAGGUGAACCUGCGGAAGGAUCAUUACAGAGUUCAUGCCCUCACGGGUAGGUCUCCCACCCUUGAGUAUUAUACCUUUGUUGCUUUGGCGGGACGCCCCGGCCACCGGCUCCGGCUGGUGAGUGCCCGCCAGAGGACCCUAAACCCUUGAAUUUGCAUAGUCUGAGUAUUAUAUAAUAGUUAAAACUUUCAACAACGGAUCUCUUGGUUCUGGCAUCGAUGAAGAACGCAGCGAAAUGCGAUAAGUAAUGUGAAUUGCAGAAUUCAGUGAAUCAUCGAAUCUUUGAACGCACAUUGCGCCCCUCGGUAUUCCGGGGGGCAUGCCUGUUCGAGCGUCAUUUAAACCCUCAAGCCUGGCUUGGUGUUGGGGCAUGCCUCUGGGCAGCUCUUAAAAUUAGUGGCGGUGCCGUCUGGCUCUAAGCGUAGUAAAUCUCUCGCUAUAGGGUCCGGCGGUUGCCUGCCAGAACCUAAACUUCUAUGGUUGACCUCGGAUCAGGUAGGGAUACCCGCUGAACUUAAGCAUAUCAAUAAGCGGAGGAAAAGAAACCAACAGGGAUUGCCUCAGUAACGGCGAGUGAAGCGGCAACAGCUCAAAUUUGAAAUCUGGCUCUUCUAGGGUCCGAGUUGUAAUUUGUAGAAGAUGCUUCGGGUGUGGCUCCGGUCUAAGUUCCUUGGAACAGGACGUCAUAGAGGGUGAGAAUCCCGUAUGUGACCGGUCGCCUUCGCCCGUGUGAAGCUCUUUCGACGAGUCGAGUUGUUUGGGAAUGCAGCUCAAAAUGGGUGGUAAAUUUCAUCUAAAGCUAAAUAUUGGCCAGAGACCGAUAGCGCACAAGUAGAGUGAUCGAAAGAUGAAAAGCACUUUGGAAAGAGAGUUAAACAGUACGUGAAAUUGUUGAAAGGGAAGCGCUUGCAACCAGACUUGCACGCAGUUGAUCAUCCGGUGUUCUCACCGGUGCACUCUGCUACGUUCAGGCCAGCAUCGGUUUUGGUGGUUGGAUAAAGGCCUUGGGAAUGUGGCUCCCCUCGGGGAGUGUUAUAGCCCUCGGUGCAAUGCAGCCUACCAGGACCGAGGACCGCGCUUCGGCUAGGAUGCUGGCGUAAUGGUUGUAAGCGACC
rnacentral:rRNA from 1 species